UACGAAGGGGGCUAGCGUUGUUCGGAAUUACUGGGCGUAAAGGGUGCGUAGGCGGGUCUUUAAGUCAGGGGUGAAAUCCUGGAGCUCAACUCCAGAACUGCCUUUGAUACUGAAGAUCUUGAGUUCGGGAGAGGUGAGUGGAACUGCGAGUGUAGAGGUGAAAUUCGUAGAUAUUCGCAAGAACACCAGUGGCGAAGGCGGCUCACUGGCCCGAUACUGACGCUGAGGCACGAAAAGCGUGGGGAGCAAACAGGG
rnacentral:rRNA from 1 species